AUGGGACUGGAAGUUAGAUCCUUUUAUUUCACUUCUGUUACCCAAUUCUGACGACACUUCUGAAAUGCAUAAGACAGCUACUUAUCCUUCUUUUACUGAUGAGGAAACGGAAAUUUAGAGUCGAUAAGAGAAGAGCAUUGUUGGUGUCACCAGAUGAGAACUUGAGAGUCAGGGCUUAAAUGCAGGUAGAUCUCCUAACCCUAAAUUGAAGGUUGUUUACACUCUACCACUUUAAUCAAAAGGAGCUAGACUUCCUUAAUAUGUUAGUUUAUUCAUCUGUCUCUUACCUAUUGAUUGUCCACUCUAUAUCAGCCAGACUGGGGGUAGACGAUGUGAGGACAUGAAUUCUCUGCUGGGACCAUUUUCCCAAACUACUGCAGUGCAAGAGUGAAGGGCCUAGAAGAGCCAAGACACCUUUGAAGAAGGACAAAGCAGGAGAAUUGCCCAAUCACACCUUGAUUCAGGGCUUCUGAUAGCCUUUAUCAAUUUUCCAGAGGAGGAAAAAGUGCCUAACAAUGUCUUCCUGUGAAUUAGAAAAAAUGUGCACCUCCUUCCAGGCAGACACAGUCCUGUGCCAGCAUGCACAAAGCAAGAUUUGGAUUUCAGACUCCACCCAUCCUUUCAGCCUGGUGUCCUAAUGCAGGACAUAACCUCUACAACAUAUGAAGCAUUGUGUUCAGUCUUAUUAUGAUGCUGUAAGAGCUAACCGGCAUGUUUCUGGUACUGUGCAAAAAAAAAUCAAUGAAAGAGUUAGAACCCAGAAACAUACCUUUAUAUAUAUGGAAAUUAUAUGAGAGAUGUUGCAUUGUGUACCAGUGGGAAAAGAAUAGAUUAUUUGAUAAAUAAAUCUGAGACCAUUGGUUGUAGAAAAAAACGCAAAUCAUACCCUUACCUCAUGCCAUAUUAAAAAAUAAAUUCCAUGGUGGUUUGAACAAAUUUAUAUGAAAAAUGUAACUAAAUGUUUUGAAUGUUUUGAGGGGGAAAUGUCCUUUUGAAGACCUUAAGAUACGGAAAGACAAGACAUAAUCAUCACAGUCCAUAAAGGAAAAGAUUGUUAAAGUACAUUAAAAUUUAAAACUUCAUACAAAGACUCCACCAACAAAGUUAAAAGAUGACCACAGGCUGAAAAAUUUUUGCAAUGCUUAUAACCAAGAAAAUAUUAAUAAGAAAAGGUAAAAAGAACUAUCAUAAAUCAUAAAAGGCUAGUUUUUAUAUAACAAAAGAUAUAAAAGGGAUUUAUAGAAGAGAAAAUGCCAUUUAAACCUGAUGCCCAACCCCACUAAAAAUAGAAGUGCAAAUUAAAGCCAUAAUGAGAUAUGAUUUCACACCCCUCAGAUUAACCAAAAAUGUAAAGUUUGAUAAUGCCAGUGAUUGGCUGGCAUAUGGAGGGACUAGAACACUUAUACACUACUGGUGAGAGUAUAAAUCAGAAAAAUCACUUUGGAAAGCAGUAUGGAAGUAUCUAGUAGAGCUGAAGAUGUAAGUAUUCUGUGACCCAGCACUUUCUCUCCAAGGAUAUUCCUUAGAGACAGUCUCACAUAUGCAUAGGAAAUUCGUAUUAAAAUGUUCAGUUCGGCAUUUUUUGCUUGUAAUGAAAAUGAAAACCACUUGAAUAUCCAUCAACACUUACAUUUCAUAUAUUCAUAUAAUAGACAUAUAAAUCUGUGAAAAUUAUUGAACUAGAGCUUCAUGUAUCAACAUGACUAAACAGCAAAAAAAUAUAAUAGCUUUUUAAAAGUUCCAGUAGUAUAUAUAUCCUACUGGGAUAUCAAUACUCUAAUACUAAACAUGCAAAGUUCCAUAGUAAAAG